rnacentral:sRNA from 1 species
ACGAUCGAUAAAACAGGUAUCGAUCGUUGUCAUCGAUCGUUUAUGGUGGUUAAUGGUCUGCGAAAAGGCAGCUGAAUCUCUUCAUCAUGCAGAACGGAAUUGCACACAACGGACUGAUACUUCUCUGGCGGAUGAGAGAGGGGAAGCAUUUAUGGUCCGGGAAAAAACCACUUUAUCUGACCAUGCUGUUUUGUACCUGCCGGUAUCCACAUUUGUGGGUACCGGCUUUUUUAUUCACC